GAGAGGCAAGGGGAUUGGUGAUCGAAUGGACAUUUUGGUGAGAAACGGAAACCAGGGCUGUCUGGGCCAUGAUGGGGCAAUUAGGAUCACCUUGGCGCCAUCUGUUCGUAUUUUUAUCAGGACCCUGUUCAGAACCGGUAUCGGGGGAAACGCAUACAGUAAGUUUUGGUGCCAUGGGAUCAUGAAUGCAUCUCCCAGGGAAUGUUUGCCUAGCCCUGCUCUGGAGCAAAAAUUGUUUUUUCUUGUUUUUUGCAGUUGCAAAGAGGUCUAUUGCUGGGUGGCCCCAAAUGCGAAAUAUGUUGCGAAUGGUGUGCUCGUUUAAUUCCCAUUCGUGAUCCCACGGGAAACGUCUGCUUAGUUCGUCCGCUGUGAUAUUCAUCACUCCAGGAAGGCCUAAAGAUAGGAAACAAUCAAUGGUAAGCCGUAUGGAUCGGAGAGCUUCGUCGAACGUUGAAGCUUUGAGGAGGCAAUCGUCUAGGUGGCUGGAGGCCUAGGGACCGGAGGGUUGCUCUUGCAUCCUUCAUCGAAUGCAGCAUGUCAUUUGUGGUGGAGGCAAAAAGUUUUUCCCCGUCGAAGGGAAGAUCUUCAAUGGUGCUCUGGACCUCUCGAGGGAAGAAGGAGGAAGAGAGCCAUGAGCCCCGUCGCAUGACCACUGCUGUGGCGGUCGACCUUGCUGCAGUGUUAGCUACAUCGAGGGCCGCUUGGAGAGCGGUGCGUGAUAUGGUUUGUCCCUCGGAAACCAGAGCUGUGAAUUG